rnacentral:rRNA from 1 species
AUUGAACGCUGGCGGAAUGCUUUACACAUGCAAGUCGAACGGCAGCACGGACUUCGGUCUGGUGGCGAGUGGCGAACGGGUGAGUAAUGUAUCGGAACGUGCCCAGUCGUGGGGGAUAACGUAGUGAAAAUUACGCUAAUACCGCAUACGAUCUAUGGAUGAAAGCGGGGGAUCGCAAGACCUCGCGCGAUUGGAGCGGCCGAUAUCAGAUUAGGUAGUUGGUGGGGUAAAGGCCCACCAAGCCAACGAUCUGUAGCUGGUCUGAGAGGACGACCAGCCACACUGGAACUGAGACACGGUCCAGAAUCCUACGGGAGGCAGCAGUGGGGAAUUUUGGACAAUGGGCGAAAGCCUGAUCCAGCCAUUCCGCGUGCAGGAUGAAGGCCCUCUGGUUGUAAACUGCUUUUGUACAGAACGAAAAGGUUUCUACUAAUACUAGGAGCUCAUGACGGUACUGUAAGAAGAAGCACCGGCUAACUCCGUGCCAGCAGCCGCUGUAA